rnacentral:sRNA from 1 species
CUUUUACCCUUUUGUUU